UACGUAGGGGGGCAAGCGUUGUCCGGAAUUAUUGGGCGUAAAGGGCUCGUAGGCGGUCCGUCACGUCGGGAGUGAAAACUUGGGGCUUAACCCCAAGCCUGCUUCCGAUACGGGCGGACUAGAGGUAGGCAGGGGAGAACGGAAUCCUGGUGUAGCGGUGAAAUGCGCAGAUAUCAGGAGGAACACCGAUGGCGAAGGCAGGUCUCUGGGCCACUACUGACGCUGAGAAGCGAAAGCAUGGGGAGCGAACAGG
rnacentral:rRNA from 1 species